rnacentral:rRNA from 1 species
CACGUAGGGGGCAAGCGUUGUCCGGAUUUAUUGGGCGUAAAGAGCUCGUAGGCGGUUCGGUAAGUCGGGUGUGAAACCUCCAGGCUCAACCUGGAGACGCCACCCGAUACUGCUGUGACUAGAGUCCGGUAGGGGAGCGUGGAAUUCCUGGUGUAGUGGUGAAAUGCGCAGAUAUCAGGAGGAACACCAGCGGCGAAGGCGGCGCUCUGGGCCGGAACUGACGCUGAGGAGCGAAAGCGUGGGGAGCAAACGGG